ensembl:lncRNA
CUGAGCUCUCUGUCUCUCUCUCUCCCCUUCUCUGGAAAUAACCAACAAAACCUUGGGAUUAUGUGUUGCGGGGAGAGAUGUGUUUUCAUCUGAGCUGGGGCUCAGGUUACAGCUGCCAGCUGCAGUCCCUGAACUUUCUCCGGCAGCCCUCUCCACUCUUAAGGCGAAGAAACAAGCUUCCAAGGGAGGAAACGUGGCCAGGAAACUGGGAGGCCCCAUGUUCUCUUUCUUUGCUUGAUUUAUUUUUCCUAAAAAAAAAAAGCCACGCGGCAAAAUAAUCCAUAUGGUUACAGAUAUCCACCUGAAGAUGGCGACAUGGCAGGACAACUGGUAAACCCAAGCUUAAGAAACAGCAUGAAGAGAAGCAGAUCACAGUCUCUCCCGGGCUUGAAAGAUAUCAUGUGGAGGGGAAAAUCACAUAUAUUUGGGGGUGGAGGAAAAGGGACCCUCCUAUACUGUUGGUGGGAAUGCAAAUUGGUACAGCCUCUGUGAAUAACAAUAUGGAGUUUCCUUUAAAAAACGAAAACUAGAGCUAACAUAUGACCCUGCAGCCCUACUCUCGGGCAUGCCUCCGGAGAACACUCUAAUUCGGAAAGACACGUGAACCCAGUGUCCAUGGCGGCGCUGUUUACAAUAGCCAAGAUGUGGAAAUGACUUGGAAGGUGAAUGAAUGGAUCAAGGAGAUGUGGUGUGUACAAUGGACUCGUGCUCAGCCACGAGAAAGAAUGAGAGAACGCCAUUUGCAGCGACACGGAUUGAACUCGAGAUUAUCGUAUGAAGCGAAGCUUCCUAGCUGGCACAGGCUUAGUUGCCCUGUGGCAUGUGGGAUCUAUUUCCUGACCAAGAAAAGAACCCAAGUACCCUGCACUGGAAGGUGGAUUCUUAACCACUGGAUCACCAGGGCUUCUCUGGUGGCUCAGUGGUAAAGAAUCUGCCUGCAAUGCAGGAGACACAGGAGAAUUGGGUUCGAUCCCUGGGUGGGGAAGAUCCCCUGGAGGAG